ensembl:lncRNA LINC00513 long intergenic non-protein coding RNA 513
GUGAACACGCUGAGUCCAGCCUUGGAGAUGCAGCUUUUGUCUUGCUGAAACCUUCCAGUUAAAUUUCUCCAUCAAUUUUUCAAAUAGUAUUAUUAGCUGAGGGACUAAAAUCUGCCUGGCGUUCUUCUGAUGACAAAGGAAACACAGCACAUUCACAAACAUCUGAAGCCAACUGCAAGGCACCCGUCACUCAGCGAGAAAAGCAGAAAGGUGCCAAUUCAGAUGGCUGAGCUACUUCGCCUGGGUCCCGACCUGUAUCACCACAGGGUCACAGAAAUGGAACCUUCUCCGUCACACCUCCUGAUGGCAGUCAGCUGUGACCCGCUGAAUCCAGGACAUCAUGCAUUCCAGUUUCAUUUGCGAGAACAUUUCCAGAUCCCCUGGAGGUAUAUAGCUUAUUAACACAAAACAAAUGUGACACUUGAAAGGCAGGAGACUUGGUUUCUAUUCUCUGGCCCACUACUGACUUAUUGGGUGGCUUCAGGCAAAUAAGUGAAAUCAAGAAGACACCAUCUUCAACAAGCACAGAGUGGGCACCUGGCAGACUUUCUUUUUUAAAAGCAAAAUAAAUUGACAUGACUUGUUCAGGGUUAACUGUUUGGCAGGUGGAUGAUCUGUGGCCAUCCAUGAUGAGAUCACCUCCCUGCCCCGCUGGCCCCCAGCCUCUAGAAGUCAGGGCUUCUGAGGCCCAGAAGCUCAGCGCCACACCUGUUGAAGGCCAGUGAUGUCAGAGUUACUCUUCCUUCCUCCAGCAGCACUGACAGCAGUUUAUUGUACGCAAUUUCUAGAACUCAGAUGUUCUAGAAGGAAGCAAACAUAUUCUGAGAUCACAGACUAUGACUAUGCUCUCAGAAUAUGUUCUAGAACACCUAAGUUGCAAUUCUUAAAAUCAACACAGCGUAAGACUGCUUUAGGAGGAAGUGAUCAAGCUCAAAGCAACCUAGGCAUGAUGUGCCUUGUUUGUUUAUCUGUUUGAACAGGAAUAAAACGAAAAGAGGCCUGUGUA